rnacentral:tRNA from 1 species
GCCCGGGUGGCGAAAUUGGUAGACGCACCAUCUUGAGGGGGUGGCGCUGAAAGGUGUACGAGUUCGAAUCUCGUCCCGGGCA